UACAAAGCAUUUUUUGUUAAUAUAUAUUGAAAAAGAGAGAGUUUAUACUAUAACAGGUUAUUAUUGACACUUAUCAACUUCAAACACAGUGAAACACUCAACAAUAAUUUUUCCUUUGCCAAACACAGGCUUCGUCACAUGAGCGGAAGAUACAUCAGCUAGUAUAGGAAUUACAAAAGGUUGAGCAUUAGAAAAUCAUGUCUCUACUCCAGCUUGGUAGCAUAAUGCCUCUGUACACUGGCUUCUUGAUUCGAGCUUUCUUGAUCGGCGGUGCGAUAAAAAUGCCUCUUUUUAUCCGGUGAAAGUUUUUGGUAUAACUCACGUCUUUGAUGAAAGAUGUAUGUUCUAUUGAUGUUAUAACAUAUUCUCUGUUAAUAGAACAAGAAUUCUAAAGAGAGAAUUCAACGAAAUGCAAUCAAAAGGGAUUCGACAUUCUA